CACGAACUGCGCGAACGUUAUUCGGAAUCACUGGGCUUAAAGAGUCCGUAGGCGGCUCGGUAGGUGGGGUGUGAAAGCCCACGGCUCAACCGUGGAAUUGCGCUCCAAACCAUCGGGCUCGAGGGAGAUAGAGGAGAGCGGAACUGAUGGUGGAGCGGUGAAAUGCGUUGAUAUCAUCAGGAACACCGGUGGCGAAAGCGGCGUCUCUGGGUCUCUUCUGACGCUGAGGGAGCGAAAAGCGUAGGGGAGCGAACGGGAUUCAGAUACCCCGGUAGUCC
rnacentral:rRNA from 1 species